GAAUAUUGGACAAUGGGCGAAAGCCUGAUCCAGCAAUGCCGCGUGAGUGAUGAGGGCCUUAGGGUUGUAAAGCUCUUUUACCAGGGAUGAUAAUGACAGUACCUGGAGAAUAAGCUCCGGCUAACUCCGUGCCAGCAGCCGCGGUAAUAAGGAGGGGGCUAGCGUUGUUCGGAAUUACUGGGCGUAAAGCGCGCGUAGGCGGUACAUUAAGUCAGGGGUGAAAUCCCGGAGCUCAACUCCGGAACUGCCCUUGAAACUGGCGGACUAGAAUCCUGGAGAGGCGAGUGGAAUUCCGAGUGUAGAGGUGAAAUUCGUAGAUAUUCGGAAGAACACCAGUGGCGAAGGCGACUCGCUGGACAGGUAUUGACGCUGAGGUGCGAAAGCGUGGGGAGCAAACAGG
rnacentral:rRNA from 1 species